UGGGCAACCUGCCCUCAGCUCUGGGAUAACUCCAGGAAAUUGGGGCUAAUACCGGAUAUGACUGCUGACCGCAUGGUCUGGUGGUGGAAAGAUUUAUCGGCUGGGGGAUGGGCCCGCGGCCUAUCAGCUUGUUGGUGGGGUAGUGGCCUACCAAGGCGACGACGGGUAGCCGGCCUGAGGAGGGUGACCGGCCACACUGGGACUGAGACACGGCCCAGACUCCGACGGGA
rnacentral:rRNA from 1 species